GGAUGAACGCUAGCGGGAGGCCUAAUACAUGCAAGUCGAACGGUAACAGGGUAGCAAUACCGCUGACGAGUGGCGCACGGGUGAGUAACACGUACACAACCUGCCUUAUACUGGAGCAUAGCCUCGGGAAACUGAGAUUAAUUCUCCAUAACAUUGCGAAAUGGCAUCAUUUUGCAACUAAAGUUCCGACGGUAUAAGAUGGGUGUGCGUCUGAUUAGCUAGUUGGCGAGGUAACGGCUCACCAAGGCGACGAUCAGUAACUGGUCUGAGAGGAUGAUCAGUCACACGGGCACUGAGACACGGGCCCGACUCCUACGGGAGGCAGCAGUAGGGAAUAUUGGACAAUGGGCGCAAGCCUGAUCCAGCCAUCCCGCGUGAAGGAUGAAGGCGCUCUGCGUCGUAAACUUCUUUUCUCUGGGAAUAAAAACCGGCAUUUAUGUUGGCUUGAAGGUACCAGAGGAAUAAGCACCGGCUAACUCCGUGCCAGCAGCCGCGGUAAUACGGAGGGUGCAAGCGUUAUCCGGAUUCACUGGGUUUAAAGGGUGCGUAGGUGGCUUUGUAAGUCAGUGGUGAAAGCCCGGAGCUUAACUCCGGAACUGCCAUUGAUACUGCUUAGCUUGAAUCAAGUAGAGGUGGAUGGAAUAUUACAUGUAGCGGUGAAAUGCUUAGAGAUGUAAUAGAACACCGAUUGCGAAGGCAGUUCACUAUGCUUGUAUUGACACUGAGGCACGAAAGCGGGGGGAUCAAACAGGAUUAGAUACCCUGGUAGUUCACGCCCUAAACGAUGUAUACUCGACAUACGCGAUAUACUGUGUGUGUCUAAGCGAAAGCGUUAAGUAUACCACCUGGGAAGUACGA
rnacentral:rRNA from 1 species